rnacentral:rRNA from 1 species
CUUGAACGCUGGCGGCAGGCCUAACACAUGCAAGUCGAGCGAGCGGCGGACGGGUGAGUAAUGUAUGGGGACUGCCCGAUAGAGGGGGAUAACUACUGGAAACGGUGGCUAAUACCGCUUACUAUCGGAUAACCCAUAUGGGAUUAGCUAGUAGGUGGGGUAAAGGUUCGCCAAGCAGACGAUCUCUAGCUGAUCUGAGAGGAUGACCAGCCACAUUGGGACUGAUACACGGCCCAGACUCCGACGGUGGCAGCAGGGGGGAAUAUUGAGAAAUGGGUGCAACCCUGACGCAGCCAGGCCGCGUGAAGGAAGAAGGCCUUCGGGUUGUAAAAUUCUUUCGGUAGCGAGGCGUUAGCUACAGAAGAAGCACCGGCUAACUCCGUGCCAGCAGCCGCGGUAAUUC